GACGAACGCUGGCGGCGUGCUUAACACAUGCAAGUCGAACGGAAAGGCCCUGCUUUUGUGGGGUGCUCGAGUGGCGAACGGGUGAGUAACACGUGAGUAUCAUGCCCUUGACUUUGGGAUAACUUCAGGAAACUGGGGCUAAUAUCGGAUAGGAGCUACUGCUGCAUGGUGGGGGUUGGAAAGUUUCGGCGGUUGGGGCUGGACUCGCGGCUUAUCAGCUUGUUGGUGGGGUAGUGGCUUACCAAGGCUUUGACGGGUAGCCGGCCUGAGAGGGUGACCGGCCACAUUGGGACUGAGAUACGGCCCAGACUCCUACGGGAGGCAGCAGUGGGGAAUAUUGCACAAUGGGCGGAAGCCUGAUGCAGCAACGCCGCGUGCGGGAUGACGGCCUUCGGGUUGUAAACCGCUUUCGCCUGUGACGAAGCGUGAGUGACGGUAAUGGGUAAAGAAGCACCGGCUAACUACGUG
rnacentral:rRNA from 1 species